GUGGGGAAUCUUGCGCAAUGGGCGAAAGCCUGACGCAGCCAUGCCGCGUGAAUGAUGAAGGUCUUAGGAUUGUAAAAUUCUUUCACCGGGGACGAUAAUGACGGUACCCGGAGAAGAAGCUCCGGCUAACUUCGUGCCAGCAGCCGCGGUAAUACGAAGGGGGCUAGCGUUGCUCGGAAUUACUGGGCGUAAAGGGCGCGUAGGCGGACAGCUUAGUCAGAGGUGAAAGCCCAGGGCUCAACCUUGGAAUUGCCUUUGAUACUGGCUGUCUUGAGUUUGGGAGAGGUGAGUGGAACUCCGAGUGUAGAGGUGAAAUUCGUAGAUAUUCGGAAGAACACCAGUGGCGAAGGCGACUCACUGGCCCGUUACUGACGCUGAGGCGCGAAAGCGUGGGGAGCAAACAGGAUUAGAAACCCAGUAGUCC
rnacentral:rRNA from 1 species